rnacentral:rRNA from 1 species
UACGUAGGGGGCAAGCGUUGUCCGGAUUUAUUGGGCGUAAAGAGCGUGUAGGCGGCUUGGUAGGUCCGCUGUGAAAACUCGAGGCUCAACCUCGAGAUGUCGGCGGAACCACUUGGCGUAGAGUCCGGAAGAGGAGAGUGGAAGUUCCUGGUGUAGCGGUGAAAUGCGUAGAUAUCCGGAAGAACACCAAAGGCGAAGGCAGUGUCCUGGCUGGUACCUGACGCUCAGGUGCGAAAGCUAGGGGAGCGAACGGGG